rnacentral:lncRNA from 1 species
UUGGCCAAUGUCUUGUUCCUCAUGCAUUCUGUCAACACAGCCACUGACCUUGGGUAGUUGGUGCAAUACUGUGUAUAUAUAUGGAAAUCUUCACUUUUGGACACGAAACAGUCUGCUAUAGCCACAGGAUCAUUUUCACAGUUUUCCAAAUCUUGCAGAAGUUCACUGUUGAAAAGGUAGAUAUCUCGUAUGUUUCCAAACAGGGCUGAUCGCUCUUCAGUCCCCAGGGGCAGUUUGGAUUGGUCAGUGAUACAAUCAAGGUAAUCC